GAAACAAGCAAGUGUGCAGUUCAGGAAAAAUUAAAGACUUAAAUACGAUUAGUAAGUUCCAAUGAUUGUCAGGUUUAGCUAGAAGGCAGAUUUGAUAUCCCUGAGGUGGUUUCCAGAGAAAAAAGGCAACAGGAGUCACUAAAACGAAAUUUUAGUCUACCCAGAAAAACGGUGGUGAUUUUUAUUUUUUUGGAAAUCGAACUCCUGUUGGCGAAGUGAACAACCGCUUUUCAGAAAGGACCAACGCCAUGAACCAGAACAAAUAGUAGCCUAAGGGAGCUAUGUCUAGGCUUCAAAUUUCAUAUGAUAAGACUCUAAAUUUAAAAUCAGAAACGAACACCAUCAGUAACUUUCAUCAGUAAGAGAAGCUAGACGAUAUAGCUACAAAAGCUUGCAGAAACUCUUACUCAAACUAAAGCCCCAUAUUGAUAAAACGGGUCAAUGGUGUGAUCAUCUCGUAUAGAAAUCAACGAGCGUUAUCAUUGCUUUGUAGAUCAUCAUAAAAUCAAUCGAAAUUAUUUAAGGGUGUUGAAUUGAAUACACUCGGGCCGCUAAAAAGCCUGUUCACACUUCGAUACCCAUCCCCAUUGAUUAAUGACCAAAACUCAUUAGUAUUCAACAAUGGCGGUGCUUUAAAUAGCGUUCAGACACCAUACAUGAAAUAAUGAUAGUCAUUUGCACCCAUGUAACAAACAUGCCGUCAACUACAACGCAUCAAUUCAACUUCUAAUCGGAUGUCAUUCAUUGAAAUUCAUUCACAGGCCAUCAUUUAAGUACAA